rnacentral:rRNA from 1 species
UACAGAGGGUGCGAGCGUUAAUCGGAAUUACUGGGCGUAAAGCGUGCGUAGACGGUCAAGUAAGUCGGGUGUGAAAGCCCCGGGCUCAACCUGGGAAUUGCAUUCGAGACUGCGUGGCUAGGGUGCGGAAGAGGGAAGCGGAAUUUCCGGUGUAGCGGUGGAAUGCGUAGAGAUCCGGAAGAACACCGGUGGCGAAGGCGGCCCGCUGGGCAGGAAGGCUCGCAAGAGCCGGCUGACACUGAGGCGCGACAGCGUGGGGAGCAAACAGG